GAUGAACGCUGGCGGCGUGCCUAACACAUGCAAGUCGAACGGAGAUUACGGACGGAAGUUUUCGGAUGGAAGACUGUAAUUCUUAGUGGCGGACGGGUGAGUAGCGCGUGGGCAACCUGCCCUAUACAGGGGGAUAGCAGCUGGAAACGGCUGGUAAGACCGCAUAAGUCGGUUAAAUCGCAUGAUUUGAUCGGGAAAUGAGCAAUCAGGUAUAGGAUGGGCCCGCGUCCGAUUAGCCAGUUGGCAGGGUAAAAGCCUACCAAAGCGACGAUCGGUAGCCGGACUGAGAGGUCGGACGGCCACAUUGGGACUGAGACACGGCCCAAACUCCUACGGGAGGCAGCAGUGGGGGAUAUUGCACAAUGGAGGAAACUCUGAUGCAGCGACGCCGCGUGAGUGAAGAAGUAUUUCGGUAUGUAAAGCUCUAUCAGCAGGGAAGAUGAUGACGGUACCUGGCGAAGAAGCCCCGGCUAACUACGUG
rnacentral:rRNA from 1 species